AGAUCUAAUCCAGAGUACCACGAGACACGUGAAACCUUGUGGGAAGCAGGGAGGACCACCUCCCAAGGCUAAAUACUACCUAGUGACCGAUAGUGAAGCAGUACCGUGAGGGAAAGGUGAAAAGAACCCCGGAAGGGGAGUGAAAUAGAACCUGAAACCGUGUGCCUACAACCGAUCGGAGCACGUUAAAGUGUGACGAUGUGCUUUUUGUAGAACGAGCCAGCGAGUUACGCUAUGUAGCAAGGUUAAGUACUUAAGGUAUGGAGCCGAAGGGAAACCGAGUCUGAAAAGGGCGAAAAGUUGCAUGGUGUAGACCCGAAACCGGGUGACCUAUCCAUGGCCAGGUUGAAGCGAGAGUAAAAUCUCGUGGAGGACCGAACCACGUUGGUGUUGAAAAACCAUGGGAUGAGCUGUGGAUAGCGGAGAAAUUCCAAUCGAACUCGGAGAUAGCUGGUUCUCCUCGAAAUAGCUUUAGGGCUAGCGUCGUGUAAUUGAGUAAUGGAGGUAGAGCACUGAAUGGGCUAGGGGCUAUAGUAGUUACCGAACCCUAUCAAACUCCGAAUGCCAUAUACUUGUAUCACGGCAGUCAGACUGCGAAUGAUAAGAUCCGUAGUCAAAAGGGAAACAGCCCAGACCAUCAGCUAAGGUCCCAAAGUGUAAGUUAAGUGGAAAAGGAUGUGGGAUUUCUAAGACAACUAGGAUGUUGGCUUAGAAGCAGCCACUCAUUUAAAGAGUGCGUAAUAGCUCACUAGUCAAGAGAUCCUGCGCCGAAGAUGUCCGGGGCUCAAACUUACCACCGAAGCUAUGGGUGUACACUAUGUGUACGCGGUAGAGGAGCUUUCUGUAUGGGUUGAAGUCGUACCGUAAGGAGCGGUGGACUGUACAGAAGUGAGAAUGCUGGCAUAAGUAGCGAGAAAUAAGUGAGAAUCUUAUUGGCCGAAAACCUAAGGUUUCCUGAGGAAGGUUCGUCCGCUCAGGGUUAGUCGGGACCUAAGCCGAGGCCGAAAGGCGUAGGUGAUGGACAAUCGGUUGAUAUUCCGAUACCACCUAUUUACGUUUGAGAAAUGGGGUGACGCAGUAGGAUAAGAUGUGCGCACUAUUGGAUGUGCGUCUAAGCACUUAGGCAUGCUUGAUAGGCAAAUCCGUCGAGCUAAGCUGAGGUGUGAUGGGGAGCCAUUUAUGGCGAAGUAUCUGAUUCCACACUGCCAAGAAAAGCCUCUAUCGAGUGAAUAGGUGCCCGUACCGCAAACCGACACAGGUAGGUGAGGAGAGAAUCCUAAGGCCAUCGGAAGAAUUGCUGUUAAGGAACUCGGCAAAUUGACCCCGUAACUUCGGGAGAAGGGGUGCCUACGAAAGUAGGCCGCAGAGAAUAGGCCCAAGCAACUGUUUAGCAAAAACACAGGUCUCUGCUAAAGCGAAAGCUGAUGUAUAGGGGCUGACGCCUGCCCGGUGCUGGAAGGUUAAGGGGAACACUUAGCGUAAGCGAAGGUGUGAACUUAAGCCCCAGUAAACGGCGGCCGUAACUAUAACGGUCCUAAGGUAGCGAAAUUCCUUGUCGGGUAAGUUCCGACCCGCACGAAUGGCGUAAUGAUUUGGGCACUGUCUCAACAGCAAAUCCGGCGAAAUUGUAGUGCAAGUGAAGAUGCUUGCUACCCGCGAUUGGACGGAAAGACCCCGUAGAGCUUUACUGUAGCUUAGCAUUGAAUCUCGGUAUUGUCUGUACAGGAUAGGUGGGAGACUUGGAAACUUGGGCGUCAGCCUGAGUGGAGUCAUCCUUGGGAUACCACCCUGACAGUACUGGGGUUCUAACCGGCGGCCAUGAAUCUGGUCACGGGACAUUGUUAGGUGGGCAGUUUGACUGGGGCGGUCGCCUCCUAAAAAGUAACGGAGGCGCCCAAAAGUUCCCUCAGCGCGGUCGGAAAUCGCGCGAAGAGUGCAAAGGCAGAAGGGAGCUUGACUGCGACACAUACAGGUGGAGCAGGGACGAAAGUCGGGCUUAGUGAUCCGGUGGUACCUCGUGGGAGGGCCAUCGCUCAACGGAUAAAAGCUACCUCGGGGAUAACAGGCUGAUCUCCCCCAAGAGUCCACAUCGACGGGGAGGUUUGGCACCUCGAUGUCGGCUCGUCGCAUCCUGGGGCUGAAGUAGGUCCCAAGGGUUGGGCUGUUCGCCCAUUAAAGCGGCACGCGAGCUGGGUUCAGAACGUCGUGAGACAGUUCGGUCCCUAUCCGUCGCGGGCGUAGGAAAUUUGAGAGGAGCUGUCCUUAGUACGAGAGGACCGGGAUGGACCAACCUCUGGUGCACCAGUUGUCACGCCAGUGGCACAGCUGGGUAGCUAUGUUGGGACUGGAUAAACGCUGAAAGCAUCUAAGCGUGAAGCCAACCUCAAGAUGAGAUUUCCCAUAGCGUAAGCUAGUAAGACUCCUGGAAGAACACCAGGUUGAUAGGUCAGAGAUGUAAGCAUGGCAACAUGUUAAGUUGACUGAUACUAAUAAGUCGAGGGCUUGACCAAAA
rnacentral:rRNA from 1 species